AAAAAGAAAACGAAGGAAUGAGAGUAAGAGAGAGCAGGUGACUAUACCUCUAUGUUCUGUAUGAGCUGCAGUUGUGGAGGAAAAGUAGAAGGAUUUGGGCUGACACCUUCUUUGGAUCUUCGGAUCAAAAUAUUUGAAAGGCAAGUUUCCCGAUCGAUGGCAGCUGCAGUUGGAAGAGAAGAAGGAGAGGAAGAUGAGCAGGGGAGGAAGAAGAGGCUGUGGCCGUGGCUGAGGCUGCGACUGCAGCAGUGCAGCUGGGAAAGAAGAGAAGGAAAGGAAGAAGAAGAGAAAGGAAAAGGGAAGAAGAGAGGAAGAGAGAAGGGGAGGCAGCUGUGGCAGUGGCAGCUGCAGCUGGAAGGAGAGGAAAUAGAGCAGGGGAGGAAGAAGAGGUUGCGGUUGUGGUGGCUGCGGCCAUGGCUGCGACUGCGACAGUUGCAGCUGGGAAAGAAAGGAAAGGAAAGGGGGAAAAAGGGGCUGCGGACGGGAUUGCGGCCGCAGCGGCAGAGACUGCGUAUGCAGCAGCGGCAGCGGCGGUGGUUGUGAUAGCUGCGUUUGAAAAAAGAAAACGAAGGAAUGAGAGUAAAAGAGAGCAGGUGACUAUGCCUCUAUGUUCUACAUGAGCUACAGUUGUGGAGGAAAAGUAGAAGGAUUUUGGCUGACACCUUCUUUGGAUCUACGGAUCAAAAUAUUUGAAAGGCAAGUUUCCCGAUCGUUUCUCCUGUUAUUCUUCUAAUCUUUCCUAUUGCAAGUGUCCUGAUCUUUCCUUACUGCAAUUUUAUCUCUAUAUUUGCUUUGAAUAUGAGGAACAUUGAAUUGUUCUAGCCUUGUAUUUGAUAUAUCUCAUGUUUAGACGUAACGAUUCCAAUCUGUGCAACUCCUGAGAUUCUGACCUUUCUACCUUGUUAUGGUUAUAACUUCACGUAUUGACCUCUGAUUUGGACAAAACUUAUUUGAUCAGAAUAUAGACUCAUAAACCUUUCUUUUGAUAGCUUAAUUUAAGAAUUCAGAGUAAGUUUGUCUGCCCAAACUUCUGUUUCAAAUGAUCCUACAGAUUCUGCAAAGUAGGGAUCGUAAUUUCUGACCUUUUUAUACUGAUCUGCCUAUAAGUCGAUGUUGGAAACUCCGAUUUGUUCAAAGCUUAUUUCAUUGGAAACUAGACUCGUAGAUCUUUCUUUGAUACCUGGAUUGAAAGAUUUAGAAUCCAAAUACCUGCCCAGUUUUCUGUUGAAUCCGACCCUGUGAAUUCUGUAAAAUUGAGAUUUGUUCUUUGAUCUUGGGUUACUAAAUCUAUUGUAACUCUUUGUUGGAAACUUCGAUUCAUACGAGACUUAUUCUAUCUUAAAGUAAAUUGAAAUAUCUUUUCAAUGAUACAUUUCUGAGUAAAUUGGAGCACGAUUGAUAGUGUAAAUCAUUUGUUCAAUGUGCCUCUUGAAUUCUACCAAAAAUCGAGCUUUGGUCGAUUUAGCAUAUUUUGGUUUCAUUCCUUUGGAAAUUGAUAUCCUUUAGCUUUCUUAUUCAAUUGAGCUUUAUAUUACUACUUUGAAUUCUUGUAUGCUCUUGUCCUUAAAGUUAUUUGCAUUCUUGAAAACUAUUGUGUAACGUUUAUGCUAUAUCGUAUUGACUCAUAUAGGCACAUGUAUAUCCCAUUGUUCCGCAUUUGCAUUCGAUAUGUGCCUAUUAUAGUUUCAUUCAUUUGAACAUUGAAUUCAUCUAACCUUCUUAUUUGAAUUGAGUUAUAUGUGAUUGCUUGGAAUCCUUGAAUGCUCUUGCUUUCAUUUCCUUUUAAAUUUGAAUACAAUUGUGAAAGAUUAUUGCUUACUUCGCAUUGACUCGUAAAGGCACAUGUACGUUUUGUUGUUCUGCGUGUGCUUCCGAUAUGUGCUAUUCAUUGUUCAUACUAUCCUUUUGUACUCUGGUGUUUGUGGGAUAUUGUGAACCUUCGCUAGAAAUGGUGAAGGGAGUUAUGCAUAGAGCCUGAGAUGCUCUGCCGGCCCCUAUGACUUCACUCAGACGUGGGUGGAUGGAACUCCCAAACGUGGGAGACUUAUGUUUGGUGGUCAUUUAGAAAUGGAUGUACCAUAUUAUGUUAUGGUCCCACUUCACCUUCUGUAUGUUUGAUAUGGUAUCCAGAGCUUUGGAUAUGAAUGAUAUGAAUGCAACGUCAAAUUCGACGUUUGAGCUUCUGUUUCGUCUUCGUUAUUGAUAUGCUCCGAAAUGGUCUAUAUGCCAUUGAUAUGUUUCGAAAUAUCCCAUUUGUUAUUGAUAAGCUCCGAAACAUUUCAUACGUUUUUGAUAUGCUCCGAAAUGUUUCAUUUGCUAUUGUUAUGCUUCGAAAUGUUCCAUAUGUUGUUGAUAUGCUCCGGAACAUUUCAUACGCUAUUGAUAUGCUCCAAUUACUCUAUGCUCCAUUUGUUAUGAACCAAAUAUGUUAUGAAUGAAAUGACAUUUGUGAUUCUGUAUCUAAUGAGAUGAUAUCCUUGAAUCUCUUGGAUUCUGUCUUGCAUUGUGAUAUCUUGUUUGUUUGAAACUGUCCCUUCUCAUGCUAUAUAUGCUUUGUUACUUGCUGAGCUGUUUUUAGCUCACUCCGUUGUUAUAUAAAUUUUUCAGGUCAGCUUGUCACUCUUUGAGAUGUUUGAAUUGGGCUGAGGCAGUGGAGAGCUAUUUUGAAUUAUGGGCAAG
rnacentral:lncRNA from 1 species